AUUGCUUCCAUUCCUCCCCCAAUAAAAUGCAAAUAGCUGACCUCCGAGGUGGGGUUGCAAAGGUGAGAUGGAAUUGUGGGACUGAUGGUCAGGCAGCCACUCUGUACCUGAUCCCCCAACCCGCCUGGCCUGGUGCUGUCCUAGUGCCAGGAGCAGAGGAAGAGCUGGGGCCCAUGGCGUCAGCCCAUUCUACGGAGGUGAACAGAAGAGUGACAGACCUCAAAGAGACAGGACUCAGCAAGGACUGGACCUCUCGUGUCUGCACUUCACUGGCUGUCCACUGGCCUCAGGAUGGCUCUAGCGGAUGGAAAUGACUGUCUGCCCUGGGUCCUUGUUUUCCCUAUUCAGGACUUAUUCAGGACAUCCCAAGCAAGCAAGUACGAGAGCUCAGGGGGCCA
rnacentral:lncRNA from 1 species